AACCCGCUGCCCGGUUCGUGCCGGAAACUAGCAUCCACGGGGCCUUACCGAUCCUUUAGGGAGCUGUCACUGAUUAGGCUCGUGGGCUUUUUCACACGGCGCCCACCUACUUUUGUAGGUUCCAGGAUCAAGUUUUCCGACGGCCAGGGCGGCACUUGA
rnacentral:other from 1 species